AACAACAUAUUAGCUUUUUUUUUUUUUUUUUGGAAUACAUCACCAACAUUAUUUUAGAAUACAAAGUCAAAGUUGCAAGUAUGUGAAAUUAAGUAAAAAUCAAAAUAAAAUUAUUGAUUGCUUAUUAUAGUAGAAGUCAUUCUUCCCUAUAUAGACGUAUGACGUUUGUGUACAUCUUAUGGAUCCAAAAGCCAUUUAACACAAAAGCCAUUUAGGCAACAAGUUAUGAAUUGGUUGGGUGCAAUGACUUCAUCAGGACAAUCUUUAGGGGAUGUACAUUUGAUAGAUGUUAACGUUGGAUUGCUUUCAAAUUCACCACCGGCAAACACCUCUGUAAUAAAAAAUAGGAAAACAAAUAAAAUUAUUGCGGAAGCUAACUUAAUAGUUUUAUCCAUGUUUCUUUUCUUUUCUUUUCGUAUAUAACAAAAAGAAUACAAUUUUAUCAAUUUAUAGGGUAUAAAGGUCACCAAAUAUUAAAACAAUUAAAUAUUUUCUUCUUUAGGAUAUUUAAUAAAUGUCUCUUCGGUUGAUCAAUGUGUAGAGUUUG
rnacentral:lncRNA from 1 species